rnacentral:rRNA from 1 species
GACGAACGCUGGCGGCAGGCCUAACACAUGCAAGUCGAGCGGAGCGGCGGACGGGAGCGUAUUGCCUAGGCAUCUGCCUGGUACUGGGGGAUAACGUUCGGUAACGGGCGCUAAUACCGCUUCCUAUCAGAUUAGCAUAGGCCGGAUUAGCUAGUUGGUGGGGUAAAGGCCUAGCAAGGCGACGAUCCGUAGCUGGUCUGAGAGGAUGAUCAGCCACAAGGGAACUGAGACACGGUCCAGACUCCUACGGGAGGCAGCAGUGGGGAAUAUUGGACAAUGGGCGAAAGCCUUAUCCAGCCAUGCCGCGUGUGUGAAGAAGGUCUUCGGAUUGUAAAGCACUUUAGGUUGGGAGGCGUUACCAACAGAAUAAGCACCGGCUAACUACGUGCCAGCAGCCGCGGUAAUUC